ensembl:scaRNA
ACUGGAGGACUAACAAGACUGAGUCUGGAGAGUGAGACUCUGGUGACAGUGGCCUCCUAAAAGAAAAGGGAUGGAGAGAGCAGUCCUACUUCCAGAAGAGCACAGGACUCACUGUGCCAUCUGACACUG